rnacentral:lncRNA from 1 species
AUAGGUGAGUGGCCUGGUAAGCCCCCAAGCAAGUUCCAAGUUAGUUGUGGCCAUCAGUUUCUCCAUAAACUCACCUUCUCUCCUUGGAGUGAUGGGACCGAGUCCCGCAAACUGUGAAAGCUGUCUUUGAUGUGGUCCCUACGUUUUCGUUCCAGUGCGUUAUGAUGAGCCCGUUUGUCAGCCUAGAAGAAUGGGAAAAAGAGCACAUUAGCAAUGUCGUUCCUUUUGCUUGGUAUAGGUGGGUGGGGAAUAGCCUGGAAGUAUAUGCUGUCAGCGCUGUCCCUGGCGAUUGGGCUGGGAAGGAUUUGUCGAGGUGGGCAGUUAGGAGUCUCCAGAAUUAGGAUCUGCUAAAGGGGGAGAAAGGGGUGAGCAAGGCUUGCGACAGGAACAUCCAAAGUAGCUCGAUGCAUCCAGCUCAUGCAUAAGUAAAAUAAAAGUUAUUCAUGGGGACAAAGUGCAACUCUCCUGCAACAUCAGUCUUCCCCCACAACUUACUUAUGUGACAGAACAGCCGCCAGUCCAUGGUUAGGAAGUGACCAGGGAAAAGCUCCAGAGGGGCCCCUUCAUAAAAUGUGAUCACC